CCUCUCUUAGCGCAAUUGAAUAGAGCGUCUGGCUUCGGACCAGGAGGUUAUAGGUUUGAGUCCUAUAGAGAGGGCCA
rnacentral:tRNA from 1 species